rnacentral:misc_RNA from 1 species
GUGAGUCAUCGAAUCUUUGAACGCACCUUGCGCCUUUUGGUAUCCCGAAAGGCAUGCCUGUUUGAGUGUCAUGAAAUCUCAAUCCCCCAGGGUUUUGUGACCCGGGGUGGACUUGGAACUGGGCGUCUGCCGGCAGCGGCUCGCCUCAAAUGACUUGGUGGGCUUAGCAUCCACGGCUUGACGUAAUAAGUUUCGUCAUGUCAGGUGCGAUGCCUGCCCACAACUGUAUCCUUUGCCUUUGGCAUUCGAACCUUUUUGACACUGGCCUCAAAUCAGGUAGGGCUACCCGCUGAACUUAAGCAUAUCAAUAAGCGGAGGA